GACGUAGGGGGCGAGCGUUGUCCGGAUUUAUUGGGCGUAAAGCGCGCGCAGGCGGUUCGGAAAGUCGGAUGUGAAAAUCCGGGGCUCAACCCCGGACGUGCAUCCGAUACUCCCGGACUGGAGGCAGGUAGGGGAGAGCGGAAUUCCCGGUGUAGCGGUGAAAUGCGCAGAUAUCAGGAAGAACACCAAUGGCGAAGGCAGCUCUCUGGGACGGUACUGACGCUGAGACGCGAAAGCGUGGGGAGCGAACAGG
rnacentral:rRNA from 1 species